rnacentral:rRNA from 1 species
CAGCAGCCGCGGUAAUACCGGCGGCCCGAGUUGCGGUCACUAUUAUUGGGCUUAAAGCGUCCGUAGCCGGGUUGGGAAGUCCUCCGGGAAAUCUGGCCGCUUAACGGUCAGAAUGCCGGAGGAUACUCCCAGCCCAGGGAGCGGGGGAGGCCGAGGGGAUUCCCGGAGUAGGGGGGAAAUCCUAUAAUCCCGGGAGGACCACCUGUGGCGAAGGCGCUCGGCGGGAACGCGUCCGACGGUGAGGGACGAAGGCCAGGGGAGCAAACCGGAUUAGAUACCCGGGUAGUCCUGGCUGUAAACGAUGCGGACUUUGUGUCGGACAAGCUAUGAGCUUGUCCGGUGCCGGAGGGAAACCGUUAAGUCCGCCGCCUGGGGAGUACGGCCGCAAGGCUGAAACUUAAAGGAAUUGGCGGG